rfam:Schistosoma mansoni, Puerto Rico, WGS project CABG01000000 data, contig: 0044
AUCCAGCUGACGAGUCCCAAAAGGGACAAAACACGCUUCUUGGAU